CCGCCAGAAAUUACAGGAAUAGUCGGAAAAGGUUGAGAGUCGAUGAGGAAGAAAUAGAAGAAAAUAUUUUGUUGGUUGACUGUAUUAAUAGGCAAAAAAAGAUUAAUCAUAGACUGGUAGAAGAAGUAGAGGAUGGUGAUAGUUAGAGAGAAGAAUCCGUUGAAGAUGACGAUAAAUUAGUGGAAAAUAGCGUUGAUGGUGGUGAAGAAAAAAUACAUAAGGUUGAAGAAGAAGGGGAAAAAAUGGUGAUGGUAAGGAAAAGGAAAUUUUUGAUGAUGAAGAAGAAGGGGAAAAUUCAGGUGAUAGUUAGAAGGAAGAAGGAGAAAAUAAAGACGAUGAGAUUGUCAUAGACAUUCGAAAUUAUGGAUUGACCACGUAGAGGACUAUAUUUGGUGGUUCUUCCCCGGCAAGAUCGCAGUAAGACCUUACAAUUUUUUUUGAAACAAUUGUAUUGACCACUUCUUGAAACUUUCACCACACUAGGUUGGACUCAAUGGAAAAUUGGUUCAUUUUCUUCUUCUUCGUCAAGUUACAAACUAUAAGAAAAAGCAUGAGAUGUGAUUCGUAGUGGAGGGAGUGCCCUAUUGUUUUGACCUAAGGGAAUUUGCACUGGUCUCAAGAUUGAAUUGCGAGGAAUUUGUUAGUAAUAACAAGCUUGUGAAAAUGUAGCAAAAGUGAGAGUAUCUUAAAAAGCUAAAAGAUAACACCAAUGGUCGAGCCCGACUGGGCUGGUGGAUUUGAUGUGAAGAAGGGAUAUUGACAAAGAGAGAGAAGUUUAAGACCUUAAUGAUUUGUAUCGUCCAUACCAUCUCGUUUGCUCGUGAUGCACUGAGCAACGUCGAUAAGAAGUGGAUCACCAUGACGGCUAGUGUAAGAUGCUUGACGAAUAUCCAUGGGGCAAGGAAUGCUUUAAUCUGACCCUUGAUUAUCUCAAGAACGUGGUGGACAUGGAGAAGCUCUAUAAAGUAUCUUGUGAUAGAAAGGAAAUACCACAAUAUGCUCUUUACAACUAUCCUCGGCAUUCAUUGUGAGUAUUUUAUUAUGAAUCUAUAUGCAGAUUAUUAUAGACAAUUAGGUGGGUGGUUUAUCUUACCGCUUAUUAUACUUAUAUUUAUUAAAGGCAUGGGCAUACGAAGUUUUCUCAUUCGUUGAGAAAAAUGGUGUCUGAUCUAGAGAACGUCCUUUGCCAAUUCCAAGGAUGUUGAGAUGUGCAAGGAGAAAGUGAUCGAAGCUACUAAUCCUUUCAAAAUUAAAUUGACACCAGUGUGAGAAUGAGAAGGACUACAUUAUAUCUUCUAGAUUAUGACAACGAAAUACUGAGCCAGAAUGUUAAUGUCCUAAAGAGGGAGAUUAGUAAUACUCAUCAAUUUCGUGCGAGCAAGGAACUUGCAUCUGGUUCUUUGGACGAAUAUGAUCAAGAUUGGGCAGGGGUAAAGUGACGUGCAACCAUUGUGGUGAUCAAUGAUUAAUGU